CAGGGUGUAAAUGUCUACAUGUAGGCCAGGGUGUAAAUGUCUACAUGUAGGCCAGGGUGUAAAUGUCUACAUGUAGGCCAGGGUGUAAAUGUCUACAUGUAGGCCAGGGUGUAAAUGUCUACAUGUAGGCCAGGGUGUAAAUGUCUACAUGUAGGUCAGGGUGUAAAUGUCUACAUGUAGGCCAGGGUGUAAAUGUCUACAUGUAGGCCAAACAAGUAAUUAAUCAUUCUCUGAUCCAUGUGAUUAAAGAGAAUGGAAUGUUACCAGCCUGUGUCCAAAAUGGCACCCUAUUCCCUAUGUGGUACACUACGUUUGACUAGAGCAGUAGUGCACUACAUACUGUAGUGAAAAAGGUGUCAUUUGGGACAUAGGUCAUAUCCUUAACUGAAACCCUUUACAGUCUGUACAGUAAUUGAACAAAGAAAACCAUUCACAAUGCAUAAAACACAGGUCAAAACUGGUUAGAACUGUCUAGAACUGUCCAGAAAUUACUUAAGAACUGAAACUUGUGAGCAGGUAAGAAUCAAGGUAGAAGCUAAAAUAUAUAAAAUAAAUAAACAUUGGAGUCAAGCCGAUGUCACGGUUGUCGAAAGGAGAAGACCAAAGUGCAGCGUGUGUGUCAUUCCACAUUGUAUUUACUCUGUGAAACUAUGCAAUACACAAAUAAACUGAAAUGACAAAACAAACCGUGACGCAAGAGGUGAAACAUAACACUGACUCAAACGAGGACCAGCUGCCUCUAAUUGGAGAUCAUCCCAAACAAACCAACAUAGAAAUACAAAAACUAGAACCUAACAUAGACAUAGAAAACAUAGAAUAAACCCCCCCUGUCACGCCCUGACCUACUCUACCAUAGAAAAUAACAGCUUACCAUGGUCAGGACGUGACAGUACCCCCCCCCAAAGGUGCAGACUCCGAAUGCAACUAAACCCCCCCAAAAUAAAACAAAAGGGAGGGUAACCAGUGUCUAUGCCAGCUCUGGUGCAGUAUCCAGAACCUUAUCAUCCAGCGAAUCCUUUAGUAGAGAAGGCGGCUCUGGUUCGGGGCAUAACCCCCGCUCCGCCCGCUGAUCCCUCUGCUUCUGUGCCACCGGACCGUGGAUCAUCGCCGGAGGCUCCGGGCUGCAGGCCGUCUCAGGAGGCUCCGGGCUGCAGGCCGUCUCAGGAGGCUCCGGGCUGCAGGCCGUCUCAGGAGGCUCCGGGCUGCAGGCCGUCUCAGGAGGUUCCGGGCUGCAGGCCGUCUCAGGAGGUUCCGGGCUGCAGGCCGUCUCAGGAGGCUCCGGACUGGGAACUGUCGCCGGAAGCUCCGGACUGGGAACUGUCGCCGGAAGCUCCGGACUGGGAACUGUCGCCGGAAGCUCCGGACUGGGAACUGUCGCAGGAAGCUCCGGACUAGGAACUGUCGCCGGAAGCUCCGGACUAGGAACUGUCGCUGGAAGCUCCGGACUGGGAAUGCGCACUGGAGGCCUGAUGCGUGGGGCUGGCAUAGGUGGCGCCAGACUAGUAACACGCACCUCAGGGCAAGUGCGGGGAGCAGGAACAGGGAGUACCAGGCUGGAUAGACUCACUGGAGGCCGGGUAUGUGGGGCAGGCACAGGAUAUACUGGACCGUGGAGACACACUGGAGGUCUUGAGCGUAGAGCUGGCACCACCCGUCCUGGCUGGAUGCUUACUUUCGCCCGGAAAACGCUGGGCGCGGGCACAGGACGAACUGGGCUGUGAAUACGCACUUGCGACACAGUGCGCAGCGCCGGCGCAGGAUAUCCUGGACCGAGAAGGCAAACUGGAGACCAGGAUCUCUGAGCUGGCACCACCCUUCCUGGCUGAAUGCUCAACCUAGCUUGGCAAAUGCGGGGCGCGGGCACAGAUCGCACCGGGCUGUGAAUGCGCAUUGGCAACACAGUGCGCAUCACCGCAUAACACGGUACUUGCUUCUUUACUCGCUCCCCAGGGUAAGCACGGGGAGUUGGCUCAGGUCUCCACCCUGACUCUGUGAAACUCCCCGUGUGCCCCCCCCCCCCAAUUUAUUUGGGAGGGGUGCCUCUCGUGCUUCCGUCGUUGCCUUGCUAGUUCCUCGUAAUGUUGCCGUUCCUCCCUCGCUGUCUCCACCUACUUCCAUGGCAGGGUCUUGACCCCUGCCAUUACCUCCUCCCAAUUCCAGGAUGUCCUCCAUUCCUUCCUCUCCCGGACCCAGGAUCCCUG
rnacentral:lncRNA from 1 species